GACGUAGGGUGCGAGCGUUGUCCGGAAUUAUUGGGCGUAAAGAGCUUGUAGGCGGUUUGUCGCGUCUGCUGUGAAAAUCCGGGGCUCAACCCCGGACUUGCAGUGGGUACGGGCAGACUAGAGUGUGGUAGGGGAGACUGGAAUUCCUGGUGUAGCGGUGAAAUGCGCAGAUAUCAGGAGGAACACCGAUGGCGAAGGCAGGUCUCUGGGCCACUACUGACGCUGAGAAGCGAAAGCAUGGGGGAGCGAACAGG
rnacentral:rRNA from 1 species